rnacentral:rRNA from 1 species
AUUGAACGCUGGCGGCAUGCCUUACACUUGCAAGUCGAACGGUAACGCGGGGCAACCUGGCGACGAGUGGCGAACGGGUGAGUAAUGUAUCGGAACGUGCCCAGUUGUGGGGGAUAACGUAGCGAAAGUUACGCUAAUACCGCAUACGAUCUAAGGAUGAAAGCGGGGGAUCGCAAAACCUUGCGCGGUUGGAACGGCCGAUAUCAGAUUAGGUGGUUGGUGGGGUAAAGGCCCACCAAGCAAACGAUCUGUAGCUGGUCUGAGAGGACGACCAGCCACACUGGAACUGAGACACGGUCCAGACUCCUACGGGAGGCAGCAGUGGGGAAUUUUGGACAAUGGACGCAAGUCUGAUCCAGCCAUUCCGCGUGCAGGAUGAAGGCCCUCGGGUUGUAAACUGCUUUUGUACGGAACGAAAAGGUCUCUCUUAAUACGGGGGGCUCAUGACGGUACCGUAAGAAUAAGCACCGGCUAACUACGUGCCAGCCGCCGCGGUAACAC